UACGGGGGGUGCUAGCGUUGUUCGGAUUUACUGGGCGUAAAGAGCGCGUAGGCGGAUUAGUAAGUUGAGAGUGAAAGCCCAGAGCUUAACUUUGGAAUGGCUCUCAAAACUACUAUUCUAGAGUAUAGUAGGGGGUAACGGAAUUCCUAGUGUAGAGGUGGAAUUUUUUGAUAUUAGGAGGAACGCCAGAGGCGAAGGCGGUUACCUGGGCAUAUACUGACGCUGAGGCGCGAAAGCGUGGGGAGCAAACAGG
rnacentral:rRNA from 1 species